rnacentral:sRNA from 1 species
AAGCGACCAAUUCGAAGCGCCGGAAGAAGGGGUAGGAAGCCGGCCGCGUAUUACCCGCGCAAGACGGAGUAAACGUCCCCUGGUGUCGCCCGGGCCUGCCCAUGCGU